rfam:Cladophialophora immunda strain CBS 83496 unplaced genomic scaffold supercont1.3, whole genome shotgun sequence.
GCAAUCGACCACAGGAGAGGGAAAGCAGGUCUUCCCGUUCGCUCAGACAUACUUAAGUCCUCUACCGGUCAGCGAGUACCAACGUGGGGGACCAGUUGGGAAUCCUGACUGUUGAUUGUU